rnacentral:lncRNA from 1 species
UUUAUCCUACUUAUUUAUUUAUUUAUUUAAUUAUUUAAUUAUUUAUUUAUUUAAUUAUUUAAUCAUUUAAUCAUUUAAUCAUUUAAUUAAUUAUUUUUUUUUUUUUUUAGUCUUUUUUAAAUAAUACGAUAGUAAAUCAGUAUAAAAUAAUAUUUUUACAACCAAACUUGGGUAUUUUUUGGUAUAUCAAUUCACUGGUAAUAUAUAUGAGUAUAUAUGAACAUAUAUGCAUGUAUGUGUACAUAUUUAACAUUGUAAAGCAAAACUGGGUACAAUCAUAAUCAUUGUGCACAUACAACGCCUUCUCAACAUAAGUAUACAUACAUAUAUAUACAUACAUACAUAUAUAUAUAUAUAUAUAUAUGCAUGUACGUAUGUAUGCAUAUGCUGACCGUGUAAUAUUUUAUUCACACAUUUUAUAGAUAUUCAAAGAAUAUUACUACGCAUUUUUGUUCUUUUUUCACGUAAGCCAUUGUUACGUACGCAUAUGUACACACUUGCGUACUUUAAACAGAAAAAAUAAAAAAAAAUAAAGUAAAAUAAUAAUAAAAUAGUAAUAAAAUAAUAAUAAAAUAAACAGACAAAUAACGAAAUAAAUGAAACGAUGUUCAUAUUAUUUUGGAAAAAAAAUUGUAUAUAUAUAUAUAUAUAUAUAUAUAUAUAUAUAUAUAUAUUUUUAUUUUUUUUUUUUUUGAUAUUUUUUCACGUAUUUUUUUACCCCAUCCCACUUUUGUUUCGUCUUAUGAAAACCCCACUUAUCUAUUUGCAAAUUAUGGUUGCGAUUACGUUGAUAUUUGAACCUAAUAUAACCAUAAACGACGUUGUGUACUGUUUGCUACUGAUGUCGAUUGAUUAUGAAAAAACGCUGUGCAACGUUCCUUUUGCGAAACUAUUCAUGAUAAUGCUCACUGGUUUAGGCUUGUUUUGUGUUACAACAAAUUUGUGGCUACACAAAAAUACAGCAAAUGCAAAUUAUGUAUAUGCUUACCAGUUGUUAACUUUUAACAUUAUUAGUAACUAUUUAAAAAAAAAAAAAAAAAAGAAAAACAGUUUA